UGGCCCCGCCGGUGACACGUGCCGCCCGUGUCACGUGGGCCGCGGUGCUCCGGGCCGGGCCGGGCCGAGCGUCCGGAAUGUGCCCGGUGUGAGUGACCUCCGCCUCACAAAGGCUCUUCUGGCCUCGUCCGUCCUUGCCAGCCGGCGAGAAAGGCGGUUUAAUCCAGGUCUGAUCACUGAGGUGACCUCUCAGUGGUUUCCAGCUGUUGGAAUGGCACAUGCGGGACUGCCAUGUUCAGGGCGUGUUCCAACGGUCCCGGCCCAAGGGCAGGGUAACAAAGCUUGGGAGGAGGAUUCCCAGUGAUUCCCGCUGAUGGUGGGCACAGGGGAUGCAGGAUGUACAGGCCACAAGGACAUACGGCACAACUGCCAGGAUAAGGAAGAACCUGAUAAAAAGAACUGGCCAGCUGUGCUGGGUCAGCUCCCACUGGGAAAGAAGAAAUCCAGAAGGAGCAGAUGGCGACCGAACCCAAGAAGCCUGCGACCCAAAAGCAGAGGAACACUGGGAACCAGCCUGAGAAGCCAGAGAACCAUUAACGAGGAGACAGAACGCUAAUUAAUCAGGGAACUGUGUAGCUUGCAGCCAGUGAACGUUAGCGCCCUGGUUCGGUGAAUGUAUAAACAGUGACAAGUUUUGGAGUCUGCGCUGGCUUUGGGAUCUGCCACCCACUCCCCCCUGUGUGCAGAGCUGGAAAUAAAUCCCGUAACUCUGUGAUAUUCCAUGGAAAAGAACCCGAGAUGUUGUCUAAGUGAAAUGAGAUCCUCAGCCCCGGAGCUCGCUGCCCAUAAAUCUGGAACCAGGAUUACGCCGGUGCUGGGAAUGGCAGUGUGGAUAAGAACAGCAAAUACUUUAUUUUGGUCUGUCCAAUAAUCCUCCUGAUGCAGAAACAGACAAAAAAUUAAUCCAAAACACUCUGAUCUCUGUGCUGUUAAAAAGAUGGUCGUGAAACAGCCUGAAAUUUUACUGUUCAGAUUAAUUUCAUGUACAGUUUUGACACAUUAAUCAACUAUGUUUUAUCUGAAUUCUCAAAAAGCAAAUUAAUGCAAAAUAAGAUAUUAACAUCUCCAUUUACUGUCUUUUCCUAUAGACUAAAACACUUGUGAAGAAAACAAAGAAAAAGAUAUAAAACUAUACAUUUCCAUAAACACAUUCUAGUUGAUAUAAAUUGUGUGAGUGGAGAAAAUAAAGUCUAAUUCUGUUUUUUUCUCUGACAUUUUAACCUGACAGAAACCCAGUG